GACAGAGGUGCCAAGCGUUAGGCGGAAUCACUGGGCUUAAAGCGUGUGUAGGCGGAUCGUUAAGUACCUUGUGAAAUCCCACGGCUCAACCGUGGAACUGCUGGGUAUACUGGCGAUCUUGAGCCACCUAGGGGCGAGCGGAACAAGCGGUGGAGCGGUGAAAUGCGUAGAUAUCGCUUGGAACGCCAAUGGUGAAAACAGCUCGCUGGGGGUGUGCUGACGCUGAGGCACGAAAGCCAGGGGAGCGAACGGG
rnacentral:rRNA from 1 species